UAAUGUGCUCUGACGAUGAACUGGGCUUUGCCUUUUGACUUGCGUUGGCCAAUGGGACACAGGCAAAUGUCAUGCAAAUACAGAUUCAAAAAGUAUUUGCCUAAUGGUGCUUGUCUUCUUGGACACAGUCAAAUUGUGAAGAAUCUUGGGGCUACCUGCUGGAAACACAGUGCCUAACAGAGAGCCAGCACAAAUCACAAGACAUGUGAGUAAAGCCAUCUUAAGCCAACCAGCCUCAGUCAAGGCACCAGGUGACUCAACUGUCACUCGUGAUCCAAGCAACACUAACAUAGAAUAUGAACUGCCCAGAUGAACCCACCACAAAAUACAGAUCCAUAGAAGCUUGAACAAAGAAAAUGGUGGUGGUUUUUUAAGCCACUAAGGUCUGAUUACUUUCUUAUAAAGCAAAUGCUAACUGAUACAUCUAAGCCGCCAGAACUUGAUAUAUAUCUAAGAAAAUUAUGUGGGGAAGAAAGUUUUAAUGUGUAUGUCAAAUACAAUCAACACCACUUUGGAAGCACACAAAGAAAUUUUGAAAAUCACAAUGAAUAUCAAAUGGAUGGAAUUCAGUGAGGUAGGUGGCUGGUGCUAAUAGAGACCGUGUGAAUCAUACAAAGCAACUGUUUGCACAUCAGAAAGCCGUCUAUGUUUUAAAGUUUUUACAUCAUAAAAAAGUUUGUUUACUUUAAAAAACACAAAACAUAAAAAGAGUCUGUUACAAGGGAGCAUUGUACUUCAUUUUAUUAAAUUUUAAGAAAUAGGUUUGGAGAAGCAGUAUGACAGUCUAAUUUUCCCAUAUUAAUGUCAAAUAAUCUCCCAUUAUUUUCAUGCAGAAUUUAUGAUUUUUAAGAACAUAUUACUGACAUUAAGUGGGAAACACUUGUGUUUCCUCAAAUGAAACUCUUUGAAGUCACAUAAUCCAUAGAAAGUGUUGGGGAUAAAAAAGGAUAGGGAUGUUUAAGGCAAAAUAUUUUAAAGCAAUGUUUGUUCUAUGCUGUCAGUGUUGCAAAAAUAAUCUCAAAAGUAAACAAACACGGCCGGGUGCAGUGGCUCACGCCUGUAAUCCCAGCACUAUGGGAGGCCGAAGUGGGCGGAUCACAAGGUCCGAAGAUCGAGACCAUCCUGGCUAAUACGGUGAAACCUCAUCUCUACUAAAAAUACAGAAAAUUAGCCAGGCAUGGUGGCGAGCGCCUGUAGUCCCAGAUAGGAGGCUGAGGCAGGAGAAUGCCAUGAACCCGGGAGGCAGAACUUGCAGUGAGCCGAGAUCUCACCACUGCACUCCAGCCUGGGUGACAGAGCGAGACUCCGUCUCAAAAAAAAAAAAAAAGUAAACAAACACUUGUUUUGACUUGUGGCAAAAUGAGUAACACCAGCCAAAAGGUCGGGAUGCCUAACAUCUACAGAUCAAGUGAUCUUGGGCAAGUAAAUAACUUCUCAAAUCCAAUUGCUCCAUCUAACGUAGAAAUACCUCGGCAAACUUCCUGAACUACCAGGAAGAACUAUUAGGACAGAGGGAGCAUCAACAUAUCUGUAGAUACCAAAUUUCGUGCUAGACUAUGUUUAAGACAGCUCAGACACGGGACAAUUAGGGGAGAUUGAAGGAAUGGGACGACUGUUUAGGGAGCACUGUCUACGGUAGGACAGGUCAUUCCUACACCCCAGAUGACACCUUCAAGCUCCCUCCUAUAAGCAACAUUUCCUAGGCCCCUGCCUAGUCUUCUCAAACUCACCUCUCCUUUCUGAAAGUUGGCCUAAACCUUCCAAAAGCACCAGUUGUUAAUAGCUAUUGAAUGAGCUAUUAUCAAUCAAAUACCGUGCAUUCUAGGGAGUAGGAUCAAUAACUGCUUGGGUCAUGCAAAACUAGGAUCUAUGCCUUUCUGUGAUUCUGCUCUGAAGCUCCAGUGAGAAGGUUCAGGCCAGAAGGGUGCUCUUUCAGAGGGGAGUCCUAUUUUCUGCUUCCAAGUGUGGAACGCCUAAUUUAUUGCAAAGACAACUGGGCCAUCACCCAGCACCCCAUCUUCCUCGUGGAACUCGUCCCUGGAAAACAGGCCGGGGUUGCCCUCUAUGCUGCCUAGAGGGCCUGCCUGCCGGGGCUGCCCGCUGUACGUCCUUCAGGCCUGGCUGGGAGGCUCAGCUGGCCCCGGGGCCCGCAUGCCGGGCCUGUCCACUGUCCUGCCUUCAGGGCUCGCCAGCCUGGGCUGCCCGCGGUCCUGUCUGCAGGGGCCGCCUGCCGGGAUUGCCCGCUCUCCUGCCUGCAGGCGCUGCUGGGAGGCUCAGCUGGCCCCGGGGCCUGCCUGCUGUCCUGCCUGCAUGGACCACCAGGCUGAGCUGCCCGCUGUCCUGCCUGCAGGGCCCGCCUGCCGGGGCUGCCCGCUGUGCAGCCUGCAAGGCCCACCUUCCGGGGUUGCCCUCUAAGCUGCCUACAGUGCCCGCCUGCCGGGGCUGCCUUCCGGGAUUGCCCGCUCUCCUGCCUGCAGGCCCUGCUGGGAGGCUCAGCUGGCUCAGCCUGCAGGGCCGGCCUGCCGGGGCUGCCCGCUGUACGUCCUCGAGUUCCGACUGGAAGGCUCAGCUGGCCCCAGGGCCCCAUGCGGGGCCUCUCCGCUGUCCCGCCUUCAGGGCUCGCCAGCCUCCGCUGCCCGCUGUCCUGUCUGCAGGGGCUGCCUUCCGGGAUUGCCCGCUCUCCUGCGUGCAGGCCCUGCUGGGAGGCUCAGCUGGCCCCGGGGACCGCCUGCCGGGUCUGCCCGCUGUGCUGCCUGCAUGGACCACCAGCCUGAGCUGCCCGCUCUCCUGCCUGCAGGCCCGGCUGGGAGGCUCAGCUGGCCCCGGGGACCGCCUGCCGUGUCGGCCCGCUAACCUGCCUGCAGGGCCCGCCAGCCUGAGCUGCUCGCUGUCCUGCCUGCAGGGCCCGCCUGCCGGGGCUGCCCGCUGUGCAGCCUGCAAGGCCCACCUGCCGGGGUUGCCCUCUAAGCUGCCUACAGUGCCCGCCUGCCGGUGCUGCCCACUGUACAUCUUUCAGGCCCAGCUGGGAGGCUCAGCUGGCACUGGGGCUUGCAUGCCGGGCCUGUCUGCUGUCCUGCCUUCAGAGCUCGCCAGCCUGGGCUGCCCGCGGUCCUGUCUGCAGGGGCCGCCUGCCGGGAUUGCCCGCUCUCCUGCUGGCAGGCCCGGCUGGGAGGCUCAGCUUGUCCCGGGGACCGCCUGCCGGGUCUGCCCGCUGUCCUGCCUGCAUGGACCACCAGCCUGAGCUGCCCGCUGUCCUGCCUGCAGGGCCUGCAGGCCCGGCUGGGAGGCUCAGCUGGCCCCGGGGACCGCCUGCCGGGUCUGCCCGCUCUCCUGCCUGCAGGGCCCGCCAGCCUGAGCUGCUCGCUGUCCUGCCUGCAGGGCCCGCCUGCCGGGGUUGCCCUCUAAGCUGCCUACAGGGCCGGCCUGCCGGGGCUGCCCGCUGUACGUCCUUCAGGCCCAGCUGGGAGGCUCAGCUGGCACUGGGGCCUGCAUGCCGGGCCUGUCUGCUGUCUGGUCUUCGUUUUUGGUUCUCUUCAUUUGGUUUAUAAAUUUGAGUUAAUAUUUGGAGCCAUUUUCUCAACCCAAUACAGCUUUGCUCCCAUGACCUCCUUCGUACUCUUAUUGAUAUUCCAGCGACAUAUUCUUUCAGUUUUGUUAAUCUGGGUCAACAAGAGGAGCUUAGUACUCCACACAAUGACUUAGGAACCUGUGCUGGUGGUGGCACUGGCAUCUUACAGCUGCUCCAUCUGGAGAAGGUUCCAGGUGAUUCCAGCUCUUCAUAUAGCUGCUGCCUCACAGAAUUAGGAUGAGUAGUGGGAAGAACUGAGUGUGGGAAUGAAGCAGAUGGGACAGAGUCCAAGAACCCAAAAGCAAGGAGGAAGAGACAGUACCGGGGCAUGAAUAGCCUUGGAGGGUUCCUGACGCCAGCCUGCAGUUCCUGGAGCUCCAGCACCUCAUCCACAACAUUUGCGAAUGGACAAGGCAGGAGUGAGGAAGAAAGGUUUCAUCUUCAGAGAAGAGGUAUCAGUAGUGUAGGGGUGAAGGUGAUGGAAGAAACGGUUGUGGAACAAAAGGAAUAGAAAGCUCCCGGCAAGGAUGGAGGCAGCACUGUUUGUUGGACAACUGAAUUGGCCCAGGUGGCCCCUGCACUCUCAGGUACCUGAGACUCCACCCGCCUUGCCUUACUGUCCACAUUUACUCAUGGUGACAACCCCCGCCCCCAAAUUUCAUUUGAAUGACAUGCGCAGGUGCAUUUGCACUGAGAUCUUUAUUCUAGGCCUGGGGCCUUGGAGCAGUGGGCAAUUGCAACACAGGACAGAGAAGAGAGUAUUGUUUGUGUCCCUGUGAUCAGACACAUGCACACACUACACACACACACACACACACACACACACACACACACACAAGGACACGGGCACAGACAUGGGUAGUAAUGAGACCUAUUAAGUAUUUUCCCCUCCAGUAGGCAGAUGUGCAUGAUACAUAAAUUACAAAUAAGAGGAACCUUGUGAACACAUUUCAAAGGCAAGAUGAGUGAAUAUCGGUGACUUGUGGUUUUCAUGUAUUUUAUAAUUCAGUUCUUGGUAUAAAAUAUAUUUUAUAUUCCAACCUCGUAUACACCUAUACACUCUUGAAAAAUCGAAAGAAGAGUUUCACUGAAGAAAACUUAAUUUCACAAGGUGUGAUACUCUCUGAUGUUUUAUUUUACAUCAUAUACUAGUUCAAUUAAAAAAUAAAUUCAUUAAGCUCAUCAGAAUUGACUGUGCCUGCAAUUUCAAAAAUG
rnacentral:lncRNA from 10 species